GGUUAAGCGACUAAGCGUACACGGUGGAUGCCCUGGCAGUCAGAGGCGAUGAAGGACGUGCUAAUCUGCGAUAAGCGUCGGUAAGGUGAUAUGAACCGUUAUAACCGGCGAUUUCCGAAUGGGGAAACCCAGUGUGUUUCGACACACUAUCAUUAACUGAAUCCAUAGGUUAAUGAGGCGAACCGGGGAACUGAAACAUCUAAGUACCCCGAGGAAAAGAAAUCAACCGAGAUUCCCCCAGUAGCGGCGAGCGAACGGGGAGCAGCCCAGAGCCUGAAUCAGUGUGUGUGUUAGUGGAAGCGUCUGGAAAGGCGCGCGAUACAGGGUGACAGCCCCGUACACAAAAAUGCACAUGCUGUGAGCUCGAUGAGUAGGGCGGGACACGUGGUAUCCUGUCUGAAUAUGGGGGACCAUCCUCCAAGGCUAAAUACUCCUGACUGACCGAUAGUGAACCAGUACCGUGAGGGAAAGGCGAAAAGAACCCCGGCGAGGGGAGUGAAAAAGAACCUGAAACCGUGUACGUACAAGCAGUGGGAGCACGCUUAGGCGUGUGACUGCGUACCUUUUGUAUAAUGGGUCAGCGACUUAUAUUCUGUAGCAAGGUUAACCGAAUAGGGAGCCGAAGGGAAACCGAGUCUUAACUGGGCGUUAAGUUGCAGGGUAUAGACCCGAAACCCGGUGAUCUAGCCAUGGGCAGGUUGAAGGUUGGGUAACACUAACUGGAGGACCGAACCGACUAAUGUUGAAAAAUUAGCGGAUGACUUGUGGCUGGGGUGAAAGGCCAAUCAAACCGGGAGAUAGCUGGUUCUCCCGAAAGCUAUUUAGGUAGCGCCUCGUGAAUUCAUCUCCGGGGUAGAGCACUGUUUCGGCAAGGGGGUCAUCCCGACUUACCAACCCGAUGCAAACUGCGAAUACCGGAGAAUGUUAUCACGGGAGACACACGGCGGGUGCUAACGUCCGUCGUGAAGAGGGAAACAACCCAGACCGCCAGCUAAGGUCCCAAAGUCAUGGUUAAGUGGGAAACGAUGUGGGAAGGCCCAGACAGCCAGGAUGUUGGCUUAGAAGCAGCCAUCAUUUAAAGAAAGCGUAAUAGCUCACUGGUCGAGUCGGCCUGCGCGGAAGAUGUAACGGGGCUAAACCAUGCACCGAAGCUGCGGCAGCGACACUAUGUGUUGUUGGGUAGGGGAGCGUUCUGUAAGCCUGUGAAGGUGUGCUGUGAGGCAUGCUGGAGGUAUCAGAAGUGCGAAUGCUGACAUAAGUAACGAUAAAGCGGGUGAAAAGCCCGCUCGCCGGAAGACCAAGGGUUCCUGUCCAACGUUAAUCGGGGCAGGGUGAGUCGACCCCUAAGGCGAGGCCGAAAGGCGUAGUCGAUGGGAAACAGGUUAAUAUUCCUGUACUUGGUGUUACUGCGAAGGGGGACGGAGAAGGCUAUGUUGGUAGGGCGACGGUUGUCCCGGUUUAAGCGUGUAGGCUGGUUUUCCAGGCAAAUCCGGAAAAUCAAGGCUGAGGCGUGAUGACGAGGCACUACGGUGCUGAAGCAACAAAUGCCCUGCUUCCAGGAAAAGCCUCUAAGCAUCAGGUAACAUCAAAUCGUACCCCAAACCGACACAGGUGGUCAGGUAGAGAAUACCAAGGCGCUUGAGAGAACUCGGGUGAAGGAACUAGGCAAAAUGGUGCCGUAACUUCGGGAGAAGGCACGCUGAUAUGUAGGUGAGGUCCCUCGCGGAUGGAGCUGAAAUCAGUCGAAGAUACCAGCUGGCUGCAACUGUUUAUUAAAAACACAGCACUGUGCAAACACGAAAGUGGACGUAUACGGUGUGACGCCUGCCCGGUGCCGGAAGGUUAAUUGAUGGGGUUAGCGCAAGCGAAGCUCUUGAUCGAAGCCCCGGUAAACGGCGGUACGUAACUAUAACGGUCCUAAGGUAGCGAAAUUCCUUGUCGGGUAAGUUCCGACCUGCACGAAUGGCGUAAUGAUGGCGAGGCUGUCUCCACCCGAGACUCAGUGAAAUUGAACUCGCUGUGAAGAUGCAGUGUACCCGCGGCAAGACGGAAAGACCCCGUGAACCUUUACUAUAGCUUGACACUGAACAUUGAGCCUUGAUGUGUAGGAUAGGUGGGAGGCUUAGAAGUGUGGACGCCAGUCUGCAUGGAGCCGACCUUGAAAUACCACCCUUUAAUGUUUGAUGUUCUAACGUUGACCCGUAAUCCGGGUUGCGGACAGUGUCUGGUGGGUAGUUUGACUGGGGCGGUCUCCUCCUAAAGAGUAACGGAGGAGCACGAAGGUUGGCUAAUCCUGGUCGGACAUCAGGAGGUUAGUGCAAUGGCAUAAGCCAGCUUGACUGCGAGCGUGACGGCGCGAGCAGGUGCGAAAGCAGGUCAUAGUGAUCCGGUGGUUCUGAAUGGAAGGGCCAUCGCUCAACGGAUAAAAGGUACUCCGGGGAUAACAGGCUGAUACCGCCCAAGAGUUCAUAUCGACGGCGGUGUUUGGCACCUCGAUGUCGGCUCAUCACAUCCUGGGGCUGAAGUAGGUCCCAAGGGUAUGGCUGUUCGCCAUUUAAAGUGGUACGCGAGCUGGGUUUAGAACGUCGUGAGACAGUUCGGUCCCUAUCUGCCGUGGGCGCUGGAGAACUGAGGGGGCUGCUCCUAGUACGAGAGGACCGGAGUGGACGCAUCACUGGUGUUCGGGUUGUCAUGCCAAUGGCACUGCCCGGUAGCUAAAUGCGGAAGAGAUAAGUGCUGAAAGCAUCUAAGCACGAAACUUGCCCCGAGAUGAGUUCUCCCUGACCCUUUAAGGGUCCUGAAGGAACGUUGAAGACGACGACGUUGAUAGGCCGGGUGUGUAAGCGCAGCGAUGCGUUGAGCUAACCGGUACUAAUGAACCGUGAGGCUUAACCUU
rnacentral:rRNA from 1 species